rnacentral:rRNA from 1 species
UGCCAGUGAUAAACUGGAGGAAGGUGGGGAUGACGUCAAGUCAUCAUGGCCCUUACGACCAGGGCUACACACGUGCUACAAUGGCGCAUACAAAGAGAAGCGACCUCGCGAGAGCAAGCGGACCUCAUAAAGUGCGUCGUAGUCCGGAUUGGAGUCUGCAACUCGACUCCAUGAAGUCGGAAUCGCUAGUAAUCGUGGAUCAGAAUGCCACGGUGAAUACGUUCCCGGGCCUUGUACACACCGCCCGUCACACCAUGGGAGUGGGUUGCAAAAGAAGUAGGUAGCUUAACCUUCGGGAGGGCGCUUACCACUUUGUGAUUCAUGACUGGGGUGAAGUCGUAACAAGGUAACCGUAGGGGAACCU